rnacentral:sRNA from 1 species
UUGUAGCCCCGAUAGCAGUGAAAAUCCUUUUAUUUUUUCUUUAAAAAAUAAAAGAUUGCAACGGAUAGCGGGAUUAGCU